AUUGAACGCUGGCGGCAGGCCUAACACAUGCAAGUCGAGCGGUAACAGGGGUAGCUUGCUACCCGCUGACGAGCGGCGGACGGGUGAGUAAUGCAUAGGAAUCUGCCCGAUAGUGGGGGAUAACCUGGGGAAACCCAGGCUAAUACCGCAUACGUCCUACGGGAGAAAGGGGGCUCCGGCUCCCGCUAUCGGAUGAGCCUAUGUCGGAUUAGCUGGUUGGUGAGGUAACGGCUCACCAAGGCGACGAUCCGUAGCUGGUCUGAGAGGAUGAUCAGCCACAUCGGGACUGAGACACGGCCCGAACUCCUACGGGAGGCAGCAGUGGGGAAUAUUGGACAAUGGGGGGAACCCUGAUCCAGCCAUGCCGCGUGUGUGAAGAAGGCCCUCGGGUUGUAAAGCACUUUCAGUGAGGAAGAACGCCUGGUGGUUAAUACCCAUCAGGAAAGACAUCACUCACAGAAGAAGCACCGGCUAACUCCGUGCCAGCAGCCGCGGUAAUACGGAGGGUGCGAGCGUUAAUCGGAAUUACUGGGCGUAAAGCGCGCGUAGGUGGCUUGAUAAGCCGGUUGUGAAAGCCCCGGGCUCAACCUGGGAACGGCAUCCGGAACUGUCAAGCUAGAGUGCAGGAGAGAAAGGUAGAAUUCCCGGUGUAGCGGUGAAAUGCGUAGAGAUCGGGAGGAAUACCAGUGGCGAAGGCGGCCUUCUGGACUGACACUGACACUGAGGUGCGAAAGCGUGGGUAGCAAACAGG
rnacentral:rRNA from 1 species